rnacentral:rRNA from 1 species
AAACUUUUAACAACGGAUCUCUUGGUUCUGGCAUCGAUGAAGAACGCAGCGAAAUGCGAUAAGUAAUGUGAAUUGCAAAAUUCAGUGAAUCAACGAAUCUUUGAACGCACAUUGCGACCGCCAGCAUUCUGGCGGGAAUGCCUGUUCUAGCGUCAUUU